UACGUAGGGCGCAAGCGUUGUCCGGAAUUAUUGGGCGUAAAGAGCUCGUAGGCGGUCUGUCACGUCUGCUGUGAAAAGCUGGGGCUUAACCCUGGCCUUGCAGUGGAUACGGGCAGACUAGAGGUAGGUAGGGGAGAAUGGAAUUCCCGGUGUAGCGGUGAAAUGCGCAGAUAUCAGGAGGAACACCGGUGGCGAAGGCGGGUCUCUGGGCCGAUACUGACGCUGAGGAGCGAAAGCGUGGGGAGCGAACAGG
rnacentral:rRNA from 1 species